rnacentral:rRNA from 1 species
AUUGAACGCUGGCGGCAGGCCUAACACAUGCAAGUCGAGCGGAUGAGAGGAGCUUGCUCCUCGAUUCAGCGGCGGACGGGUGAGUAAUGCCUAGGAAUCUGCCUAGUAGUGGGGGACAACGUUUCGAAAGGAACGCUAAUACCGCAUACGUCCUACGGGAGAAAGUGGGGGAUCUUCGGACCUCACGCGAUUAGAUGAGCCUAGGUCGGAUUAGCUAGUUGGUAGGGUAAAGGCCUACCAAGGCGACGAUCCGUAACUGGUCUGAGAGGAUGAGCAGGCACACUGGAACUGAGACACGGUCCAGACUCCUAAGGGCGGCAGAAGUGGGGAAUAUUGGACAAUGGGCGAAAGCCUGAUCCAGCCAUGCCGCGUGUGUGAAGAAGGCCUUCGGGUCGUAAAGCACUUUAAGUUGGGAGGAAGGGCUCAUAGCGAAUACCUGUGAGUUUUGACGUUACCAACAGAAUAAGCACCGGCUAACUUCGUGCCAGCCGCCGCGGUAACAC